rnacentral:miRNA from 1 species
ACAAGUAUUUCUGGACGGAGG